AGAAGUUUUGUUGAUUUGCAAAAGAACUUUGCCAUCACAGAGAGACACACAUUAUGCGUAAAGAUACCCAAUUGCUAAGAUACAUUCAAGUAUAUGAGACAUUGCUGUGGCUUCUGGAAUCCAGUACUUUUCCAGGGGUUGCGUAAAUUGUACAGCUUUGCCACAAGCAUUUGGAAGAUUGCUGUGUUUGUGUGUUAAACUUCUUCAGAAUGUGAGAGAAGCUCUUCAUCUCCAUGGAUUAUUUUGUCCCUGAUGAAUGUUUGGGGCUGCAGUUGUUUUCAAGCUCAGUAUUCUGGAAACUGCAGCUGAAGAGGAAGCAAGAGAACAAUGGAUUUCUUCAUAGUCCAGACUUCAGAUGUAUCUGUCAUUGGGAAAAGAGAUGUUAUUUCUGGCCUGUGUCAAAGAAUGGAGUUCCAUCAAAGUUCACAAAGAAAACUUUUAAAGGACGGAUGACAAACACAAGGGAUUAAUAUGUACAGAGUCAACCUGCACAAUUUGUCAUCCCAAUCAACUUGACUGACUAAAUUAAAUUCUUGUUGCCUGACAAAUUAGCAUCAACUCCCAGUACCGUGCAAAGAUCAAAAUGAUUCUUUAUAAGUUCCUAGUGUCAUUCUAAUUCAGCUAAUAGUCACAAAUUUGCUUCCCUGAUCUUUCCAAAGUUGCAGUUUUGUUUUUGUGUGAUUUUUUUUUUUCCAGCAAGAGUAUAUAGAGUUGUUAGGCACCUUACAUUGAUGUCACAGGGAAAACAUCUGUAGGAUUCUGAAUCUGAGUCAUUUAGCAAGAACUGAAAAGUGAGUUAAAGAAACAUUUACCAUCUGACAUGGGGUGUUUUUAAGUGGGUUUUAUUUUUUUAUUUUUUCUCCAUUUGAUAGCUUCCUAAGACUACUAUCUCCUAAGAUUGCUCCUCCUAUUCUGUGAGGGGCAAUAAGAUGAAAAUAACUUUUGCUCUUUUAUAAAGCUCUUAUAUGGCUGCCAGGAUAAAAAGAAGCCCAAAUAUUCUAUCACUUUUUAUUUUCUGGACCAUCUAUGAGAAAAUGCAGCUACUUUAAGCUAUAAUAAUUUCACUCAAACCUGUAAUAAAGAAAGUGGGCAGCAUUUUCUGUUACUCUUCCAGGUCAGUUUUCAUGGUGAUAUCCCUGUUUGCCAAACUGAAGAGAUCCUCACAUAAUUUUCUUGAGAUGCCUGGUGGAACAAUUUGCUGAGCAGCGUGCUUGAAUUGCUGUACAUUUUAGUGGCAUAAUCACAGUUGUGGGCUGAAAUCUUUCCGUGACAUGCCUCUCUGUACUCCUCCCUGUGGAGCAGGUCCUAUUGGUAUAUGCAAGAGGUGAUACCCAUCACACUUCAGUGAGCUCAGAAUAGCAAGUGGAAAUAGAUCGUUGCUAAUGUGUGUCUUUUGCUCUGGGUAGCACUGUCUGGGGUAUUUGCUAUGGCCCUGGCAUUGCAACUCGAUCCACAGAAUGUCUGACUGAGCAAGUUGCCUCACAGUUCACUUAAACGAUUGCUUUCUCUCCAGAGGGUUUAUUUUCACAUUAUAAAUAAUUAAACUGUGUAAUUCGUUGUCACAGGAUAUUGUGGAGGCCAAAAUGGGUUCACAUCCUUCAGCAUCUGUUAAAGACAAUCAUUUGGAUGCAAUCUCUGAUGUAGAAAGUACACUGUCAGAGCUGUAUGGGAAGUAUCAGGGGAACCUUUACCCUAUGCAUGCCUUUUUUCCUAAGCAUCAGUUACAAGCCACUUUUCAUGACAGGCUGUUGAGCUGAAUGGAUCUCUGGUAUUAGUCAGUUUGGCCAAUUUUAUGUUCUUAUUAUGGUAGAAUCAGGCUUAACUGCAUUUGACAGUACUUAUCCCCCUAAAUAGUCUUACUGACAUCAGACAGAGUUUACAUUUACUACCAAUUGCAUUUUACGGGUUGCAAGAUCUAUGUGUAGUGAAAAGGAUUAAAGCUUGUAUGAGCUUCAGUGGGAUUUCUUGGCAUACAUCAAUAUAUUUCAAACACGGCAUU